GUGGGAGCUGGCUUGCCUGCGAUUGCGGUGAGUCAGCUCCAACAAAUGCAGCUGACAGACCGCAAUCGCAGGCAAGCCAGCUCCCAC
rnacentral:misc_RNA from 1 species